CAUUGUAACUGAUUUGGAGGGAAAUCUGAAUCAUUGUAAGUUUGUAACUGAUUUGGCGGGAAUCUUAAUUUUCUCUCAUUCCCUGUCUCUCUCUCCCUAAUCUCACACUUACUGAUCAAAACCCUAGAAAUUCUGAGGCGAAGCUCUAGCGUGACAUGUCCGGCCUCUUUAAACAGGCGAAGAUCAGCUCCUUCUUUAAGCCUUUUGCAACUAACGACUCUUCUCCUCUCACCAAUGAAUUAGAAGAAACUGCAAAUUCCAGAGAGAGAAAGGAUAUUCUAGCCACUUAUAGACGCCGCACUCCCAUAAAUAAACCCUCUUGUGAACAGAGAGACGAUGAUUUUACUUCCGACAAAGAGGAUGAAGCUGUUAGACUCAAUAGCAAGGAUAAAAUCCAAUUGUUUUCUUCUAAUUCUGAAUCAAACAUACGGAGAAACUAUUCCUCCGAUCAAUUAAGUUAAAAUAUUCUUCUGAUUCAAUUAAGUCUUGGCAAGAAAGCAAUCCAAUGAGUGGGACAGUGAACAAGAAACAGAACCAUUCACAAUGUUAUUUGGAGCUUGGACGGUCUGAUCUCAUUCUUCACACAUGUUCCUUAUGUGGAUUGCAAUAUUCAUGUGGCGAUGAAGAGGAUGAGAGGGUCCACAAGGCAUUUCAUAAGAAAUACAUCCAGGGAGUUCAAUUCAAGGUAUUUGCCAGAUUGUCAAUUUAUAGUCUGGUAUUUUUCAUAUAUUUAUCGUUUUGAUAUAGAGAGUCUGCUCUAGCCUUUUCAAGAUUUUGAAAUUAUAUCAAUAUUAUACAAAUCUUAAGUUUGCUCCAUCCUUAAAGACAGAGACACGGAUAAAUUAUGAGGUUGGUUCUAAAGAUUCAGUUUCACGUUCUUUGAUGUGGAUGAAAUGAAUUGAUUCUAGAGAUUCAGUGUCAAUUCCUUAAUAUAGAUGCAGAUGAGAUUCAGUUUCAAGUUUAAUGUUGCAGAUGAAAUGAAGCGAUUUUAAAGAUUCUGUUUCAAUUUAUUUGAUUCAGGGUCUUAUCUUGUCACCUUUUUUGGAAUUUAGUGAGGUGGUCCAUUAGAAACACCUGCAACAAGAAUUUAAUGGAGCUUGUGGAACUCUCUUGGUUGCAAUUAUUGAGAACCGCUCUGCAUAUCAUGUCAAUUUUCACUUCUAAUCUUUCUCUGUUGCUUAAUCUUUUUCUAGACUUUGCAGGGUUUUUUUUUUUUUGAAACUGUUUCAGGACUUUGCAGGGUUGGCAUAAUGAAAGGGUAAUAUGCACAUAUCCGGAUAAUGGAGAGCACAUAGUUUUGAUAUUGAAUGGUGAUCCACCUACCCAUCGACAAAGGGUUCUUCAUCUUCAUCUUGAUCUCAAAAUUCUUUUAUAUUUGAGAGAAGUAUCAGUUAGAAAAGAGAACCCCGCUUCAAACCAACCAUUGUCAGGUUCAAGAGGUUGCAAAGAUAAUGGUGAAGGAGCUUAAUUUGGAUGAUGAGUGGCUUGUGCAUAAAUUCUGCAAGGUUUAUCUACGUAUCUCGAGUCAGAGAAUUGUUGGCUGUCUUGUGGCAGAACCAAUCAGAUAUGCCUACAAAGUCAUCUCAAACUGCUCCUGCCCUUCAAUCAUACAUUCUUCGAGUUCAAGUGCAAAAAGAGAAUUUCAAAACAAAAAACAGCGUGUUGAGACAGAAACAAUUAAAAGAAACCCCUCUAAUGUAAAGAACUCGGAGAAGAUUGCAGAUGAGUUUUUUGGUGCUGCGAUCCUUUGUGAGAUGGAACCAAUGCCAGCUGUUUGUGGCAUAAGAGCCAUUUGGGUUCUCGCCUCCAGGAGGAGAAUGGCAUAGCAACUUGCUUACUCAAUGCGGCAAGGAAGAACUUCCUCAUGGGUUAUGUCUUGGAGCCCUCCCAAUUAGCCUUCUCUCAGCCAACAUCUUUGGGAAAGGCGUUUGCCACCAAGUAUUGCAGCACCAAUUCGUUCUUGGUUUAUAAAUCAGACUAUUUGGAUUACCUAGCAGACACCACCCAAAUAUAAAUACAAAAUAUUGAGCCCUUGAUGUCAUUUCAAAUGCCCCAAGGAAAUUGAGACUGCUAAUGUUUCAAAAGUAUCGAACUUGCUCCUAGCUCAACCGAGCCAGCACGUCGCUCUCAAACCACAUAAGGCGGCUUGAGAUCAACAAGAGUUGAGAAAAUUUACCAGCGAAAGCUGGCUUGACAUGUCAUUUGGAGGUUUUGGAUGUCUAAGGGUAUGUUUGCUUAAGAGGUUUGAGUUUCAAGAUAACUACAGAGGAAAUUCCCCAAAAGCAUGGGAGCUUUCAAGUUAAAGUCUCAAAUGCACUUGGAUCCCCAUUAAUUUCAAGGUUCAACGCUUAUGGCUAGUUUGGAUGAUAUGUAUAAAUCAUUAGAAUCUGUUGAUUUUUGCAUACAAAGAUAUCAAAUGGGAUACAUCAAACUGGC